CCCUUAGAUGUCCUGGGCCGCACGCGCGCUACACUGACACGCCCAUCAAGCUUACAACCUUGGCCGGGAGGCCUGGGUAAUCUUUGAAAACGUGUCGUGAUGGGGAUAGACGGUUGCAAUUUUCCGUCUUAAACGAGGAAUUCCUAGUAAACGCAAGUCAUCAGCUUGCAUUGAUUACGUCCCUGCCCUUUGUACACACCGCCCGUCGCACCUACCGAUUGAAUGGUCCGGUGAAAUCUCGGGACGGCGGCUUGGUCGCUUGCGUCCGACUGCUGAAACUUGAUUAAACCAUAUCAUUUAGAGGAAGGUGAAGUCGUAACA
rnacentral:rRNA from 1 species